AAGAUCCCUCUGCCCCACUGAAACAGGAGUUACCAACUUUUUGAAGAGGCUUGUGAGAUCCAACCCCUCUCCAGCUGAGGACCUGAGACCUAGUGAGGACAAUGACUUCUCAUAUCUACACUGCUAGUAGGAGACAAGCACUGGUUUCAGAAAAAGAGGCGCUUAAGCUUAAGAGGAUGUACUAUAGCAAGUCUGGACAGGAACAACACUGAGUGCUGGAGAACUUGGAAAGGCUUCACAAACAGAUGGAACUGAGAGUUGCUUCCAAGAUGGCCGAAUAGGAACAGCUCCGGUC
rnacentral:lncRNA from 1 species